rnacentral:rRNA from 1 species
UAGGGUGAAGAUAGCGGAAGGGAUACACCUGUACCCAUCUCGAACACAGAAGUUAAGCCUUUUAGCGCCGAUGGUACUAUGAUGGAGACGUCAUGGGAGAGUAGGUAUUUGCCCAAC